rnacentral:tRNA from 1 species
CCACGUUAGUAGAUCAGUUACAGGGCUGACCUCGUGCGACUGUUAAUCGAAGGGUUGUUGGUUCGAGUCCAACCGCGGGAGCCA